UACGAAGGGGGCUAGCGUUGUUCGGAAUUACUGGGCGUAAAGCGCGCGCAGGCGGCCUUUCAAGUCAGGGGUGAAAGCCCGGAGCUCAACUCCGGAAUUGCCUUUGAAACUGUCAGGCUCGAGUACGGGAGAGGUGAGUGGAAUUCCCAGUGUAGAGGUGAAAUUCGUAGAUAUUGGGAAGAACACCGGUGGCGAAGGCGGCUCACUGGCCCGUUUCUGACGCUCAGGCGCGACAGCGUGGGGAUCAAACAGG
rnacentral:ncRNA from 3 species